GACGUAGGGCGCGAGCGUUGUCCGGAUUUAUUGGGCGUAAAGAGCUCGUAGGCGGCUUGUCGCGUCGAAUGUGAAAACCCACAGCUCAACUGUGGGCUUGCAUUCGAUACGGGCAGGCUAGAGUUCGGUAGGGGAGACUGGAAUUCCGGGUGUAGCGGUGGAAUGCGUAGAGAUCCGGAAGAACACCGGUGGCGAAGGCAGAUCUCUGGGCCGUAACGUGACGCUGAGGAGCGAAAGCAUGGGGAGCGAACGAGG
rnacentral:rRNA from 1 species